UGUGUCAUUGAUGUAUUUGUUUCAUUUGAGUUUAUAGUGAAACAGAUUUACAUGCACUACCAUCUGAGACAUG